AGAGUUUGAUCAUGGCUCAGAUUGAACGCUGGCGGCAGGCCUAACACAUGCAAGUCGAACGGUAACAGGAAACAGCUUGCUGUUUCGCUGACGAGUGGCGGACGGGUGAGUAAUGUCUGGGAAACUGCCUGAUGGAGGGGGAUAACUACUGGAAACGGUAGCUAAUACCGCAUAAUGUCGCAAGACCAAAGAGGGGGACCUUCGGGCCUCUUGCCAUCGGAUGUGCCCAGAUGGGAUUAGCUAGUAGGUGGGGUAAAGGCUCACCUAGGCGACGAUCCCUAGCUGGUCUGAGAGGAUGACCAGCCACACUGGAACUGAGACACGGUCCAGACUCCUACGGGAGGCAGCAGUGGGGAAUAUUGCACAAUGGGCGCAAGCCUGAUGCAGCCAUGCCGCGUGUAUGAAGAAGGCCUUCGGGUUGUAAAGUACUUUCAGCGGGGAGGAAGGGAGUAAAGUUAAUACCUUUGCUCAUUGACGUUACCCGCAGAAGAAGCACCGGCUAACUCCGUGCCAGCAGCCGCGGUAAUACGGAGGGUGCAAGCGUUAAUCGGAAUUACUGGGCGUAAAGCGCACGCAGGCGGUUUGUUAAGUCAGAUGUGAAAUCCCCGGGCUCAACCUGGGAACUGCAUCUGAUACUGGCAAGCUUGAGUCUCGUAGAGGGGGGUAGAAUUCCAGGUGUAGCGGUGAAAUGCGUAGAGAUCUGGAGGAAUACCGGUGGCGAAGGCGGCCCCCUGGACGAAGACUGACGCUCAGGUGCGAAAGCGUGGGGAGCAAACAGGAUUAGAUACCCUGGUAGUCCACGCCGUAAACGAUGUCGACUUGGAGGUUGUGCCCUUGAGGCGUGGCUUCCGGAGCUAACGCGUUAAGUCGACCGCCUGGGGAGUACGGCCGCAAGGUUAAAACUCAAAUGAAUUGACGGGGGCCCGCACAAGCGGUGGAGCAUGUGGUUUAAUUCGAUGCAACGCGAAGAACCUUACCUGGUCUUGACAUCCACGGAAGUUUUCAGAGAUGAGAAUGUGCCUUCGGGAACCGUGAGACAGGUGCUGCAUGGCUGUCGUCAGCUCGUGUUGUGAAAUGUUGGGUUAAGUCCCGCAACGAGCGCAACCCUUAUCCUUUGUUGCCAGCGGUCCGGCCGGGAACUCAAAGGAGACUGCCAGUGAUAAACUGGAGGAAGGUGGGGAUGACGUCAAGUCAUCAUGGCCCUUACGACCAGGGCUACACACGUGCUACAAUGGCGCAUACAAAGAGAAGCGAUCUCGCGAGAGCAAGCGGACCUCAUAAAGUGCGUCGUAGUCCGGAUUGGAGUCUGCAACUCGACUCCAUGAAGUCGGAAUCGCUAGUAAUCGUGGAUCAGAAUGCCACGGUGAAUACGUUCCCGGGCCUUGUACACACCGCCCGUCACACCAUGGGAGUGGGUUGCAAAAGAAGUAGGUAGCUUAACCUUCGGGAGGGCGCUUACCACUUUGUGAUUCAUGACUGGGGUGAAGUCGUAACAAGGUAACCGUAGGGGAACCUGCGGUUGGAUCACCU
rnacentral:rRNA from 1 species